UACAGAGACCUCAAGCGUUAUCCGGAUUUAUUGGGCGUAAAGCGUGUGUAGGCGGAUUAAUUAGUCAGAUGUUAAAUCUCGGGGCUCAACCCCGAAUCAGCAUUUGAAACGGUUAGUCUAGAGAAUGUGAGAGAUCAGUGGAAUUUAUGGUGUAGUAGUGAAAUGCGUUGAUAUCAUAAGGAACACCCAAGGCGAAGGCAACUGAUUGGCACAUUUCUGACGCUGAGACACGAAAGCGUGGGGAGCGAAUAGG
rnacentral:rRNA from 1 species